GCUCAAACUUGAAAUCUUCAAGGGUUUCCCUUUACGAAUUGUAGUUUAAAGAAGUGUUUUCUGUUGAGGUUUUGGUAAAAGUUCUUUGGAAUAGGACAUCAUAGAGGGUGAGAAUCCCGUAUUUGACCUUUACUUUCAACUUUGUGACACACUUUCAAAGAGUCGGAUUGUUUGGGAAUGCAGUCCAAAAUGGGUGGUAAAUUUCAUCUAAAGCUAAAUAUUGGCGAGAGACCGAUAGCGAACAAGUACCGUGAGGGAAAGAUGAAAAGAACUUUGAAAAGAGAGUUAAACAGUACGUGAAAUUGUCAAAAGGGAAGCGUUUGACACCAGUGUUGUUUUUCUGAAAAUCAAUUAAAGAACUGUUUAUGCUAAGCUGUUUAGACUUUAUCAGCUAACUGUUUAGUUUUGAGCUUUUCUUUAAUGCACUUUUCAGUUAACAAG
rnacentral:rRNA from 1 species